AUGCAAACUGCUAUGAGCUGAAGGGAACAUUAGAACACAGCCAAGGACAACCGAAAACUGGAGGCUAAAACCAUGUCUUGCGCAAAGUGAUCUCAGAGAUGCUGAUCCUAAAAGCUACAUUUAUUAAUCUCUGCAGUGGAUGGAAAAGGAGGAAUUACCUGACUAAAAAGGGUCAUUAUCAGAGGCACAGUCAUGUGUGCUUGCUUUUAAAUGCUCCUGGCCCAGCUAAUUACUCUGGGCACAAGGGAACUCCACGGGCCAAGGGGAAAUAUUUCCAGUCCCAGGAGCACCUCCUCCCGCUGCCAGGGGGUGGGUACCAUUCCCUGUCUGACACUGCAGCAGGGCCAUACUAAAAGAUGCUGUGACUCGUUUCCCAGUGCCAAUUGCAGUGAGCACCUGUGCAGCAGCACACUUCAGGGGUGCUGGCAGCCUCCCUACAGGUGCUCCUGCCUUGCCCUUGCUGCCCGCCCUUACUUGCCGGUGCCCUCACGUAUGUUGGUUUUUGUUUUGUUUUUUUUUUGCACCUGUGGAUUCAGAGGCAGGAUUUGAAAGCAAAUGUACUGGAACAUUUUCAGAAUCCAAAAAUAAACAACACCUGUCAUUAUAAGUGAUCUGCUGAUGCAGCCAUACUUGAAUGUCCGUGCCUCAUCUGAGCGCCUGAUGCUGAAAGGGCUUUUUGUUGUUGCUUGCGGUGUUCUUGCUCUGCGUUCCACAAGUGCCACCACAAGAACCUUUCCAGGCAAGCUGCAAGGAGCCAUGCCCAGGAAAAACAGCACCUAGGCCAUGUGGAUGAAGUUGAUGUGCAAAAAGAUUCCAGCUGAAAGCACCGGAGGACUUAUCGGAGCACCUCCUCACCUACAAAUCCACAGGGAAGUGGAAUUAAAUGAUUGGACUUGACAGCUAGGGAGAGCUAUGCUGUCUCUGUUUAAUCUUCCUUGUAGGAUAACACAGCCAAGACAAGGGCAGGGUACGGCCUAUCACACUAAUACAGCCCUUCAGGAGUUUUCUUCAGAAUUGUAUGCCACCAAGGGCAUUUCUGACACUAAAAAAACGUAGGAAGAAACUAGAGAUGGUUCUAUACAAAUGUACUGACACUCCCAGAAGCCAUGGCCAUAUAGCCCAGGCACUGUUCUGCCCCAUCAGGUUUGGUCGAUACUUCAUCUCUUUGAUACAGAAGCUAGAUUCCAGAUGCUGCACGUGAGCCACUGCCAGGAUGCCACCCACGCUGUGCAAUGGCCCCUGCAACCAAAAUGUAAAGACUGAUGGAGCAUCGGACCCUGCAAACCUCACCGUAUUUAUGGAGAUGUGUCUUUAUAACCGAGGCAUUCCUUUCAUUUGGAUUUGAAUGAAGGAGGUAAAGAGGGAAAAGGCUUUUGAGAUCAUCCAUGGUACUGCUUUUACCAGAUGUACACUGUUCUUUAUGUCAUCUCCUUGCACAUGAGAGGAAGAACUGGCUGACCUGAC